ensembl:lncRNA
GAGAAAGACCACACCAUGGGUGUGUUCUCUCCCCAGCUCCACGUUCUCACUCUCCACCUCCUGCUCUGAGCCUCAUGGCGUGGCAGGAUAAAGGCACUGUGGCCUGUUAGUGACCUCGUGAACUGUUCCUGCAGCUGCAAUGACAGAAUCACAGACUGGUUGAAGUUGACGAGGACCUCUGGUGGACACCUGGUCCAACCCCUGCUCAAAUAGGGACAGUCAGAGCAGGGUGCCCAGGACUGUGUCCAGACAGCUCUUGAACAUCUCUAGAAAAGGAGAUCCCACAUCAUCUCUGUGUUCCAGUGCUUGGUCAUCCCCACAGUACAGAAGUACUGCCUUGUGUUCAGAGGAAACCUUCUGUGUUCCAGUUCAUGCCCAGUGCCUCCUGUUUUGUCCAUAGGCACUGCUGUUCAACCACUCAAUCAUGCCACAAGGUUUAGGCAGAGCAGUGACAGGGGGCCAGUAACAUUAAAUUCCUCUUUACCCCAGCCCCAGGGAAGCAGCUGGUUAGAGCCAUGGGCUCCCCAAACCAGACUGCUGUGCUGAAAUUUUGCAUUGAAAAGCUGCAGUAUCACAUCACCACCAAAGACUAGCAGAGAAGGGGAAAGGCAUUCGUCUGGCAUAGCUGUUCCCUCCCCAGAGGAAAAGACCAUAAAUUAUAGUAAUGUUUUGAGGAUUUCUUAUUUUCACCCUGUUUAUCUGCCUGCUAGAGCCUUUUUUUUUUUUUUUUUUUUUUUUUUUUUUUUUUUUUUUUUUUUUUUUUUUUUUUUUUUUUUUUUUUUUUUAAAUAUGUCUUGUUAAGCCAUUUGUUUCACAGUUGCCAGUGGGGACAGUUUGUUCUCCCACACUGCAUUGGUAUAAUUCCCCCUAGUUUCUAAGUGAGGUCUUGAAUCAGGCUUCAGGGGGGAUUUGCCCUUGAAAGCGAACCCACUGACAGCUAUUUCCAGUUUGGUCCUGAUAGGAGGUUUACAAAAUAUCUUGUCCCACCAGCAGUCUGGUCCACUGCCUUUUUCCAGUACCUUUUUAGGAGGAAGAAAUGCUGGUCUGUGUCAGAAGGAAGGUGUUUGGAAGACAGUCAGACUGGGGACCUGGGCAGGAAUCAGCCCUCCUCCUUCUUUGAGGCAAAGAGCUACCCAGGAUGUGAGAAGACCUGUGUGAAAUCCCCAAAACUUUCUAAGAACAAUCCAGGUCUUGAAGAGGAAUUUUCAGUGCCAGCUGUCAAAAAUCUUUGGCAAGGGCACGGUGUACAUGAAGUGACAGAAGAGAAGAAAUGGGAGAACGUGUGGAGAAUGGCCUUCAGUACUGUGACAGCCAUCUCACUCUCUCCUCAGGCCCUCAGAAGGUUUGGGGAAAUUGGCUGCAGGACAUUAUAAACAGACUUUGCAAGAUCUGCAGGCCACACUUUCCUUUGAAGAUUUCUGUGAAAACAAUCCCUGAAACAUUGGGAUAUGUUGAAUGUCAGUUAUGAUUUAUGAAAUGAGACUUCAAGCCUUAUUUCCUUUUGUUACUGAGUAAAAGUUUUUCAAAUGCUUAUUAAUAUAACCUGAGGAUCAAGAAGGAAAACAAUGAAUCACUUGCAAAGAAGAAAUGAAUUCUCCAAGAGAAUCCUAAAAAAGAAGCAUUCAUCAGUCGUGCGUCUUCAUUUAUCUCCCCGGGCUGAGCUGCAGUCCCAUCUGUGUGACUGAUGCUGACUCUGAACAGCUCCUUCUCCACCUCCUGCCUGUCCUUUCCCUGGUUAGUCACACUUCCCACUUGGAGAAAACGACAAUCUCGAGCUCCUUAGAGGCGACACAACUCAGUUUCUCUAUCUUCCCCUAUUACCAUUCAUACUCUGGCCAGUUCAAAGAGUGAACACAAAUCAAUACCCUCAGCU